rnacentral:rRNA from 1 species
UACGUAGGUCCCGAGCGUUGUCCGGGUUUAUUGGGCGUAAAGCGAGCGCAGGUGGUUUAUUAAGUCUGGUGUAAAAGGCAGUGGCUCAACCAUUGUAUGCAUUGGAAACUGGUAGACUUGAGUGCAGGAGAGGAGAGUGGAAUUCCAUGUGUAGCGGUGCAAUGCGUAGAUAUAUGGAGGAACACCGGUGGCGAAAGCGGCUCUCUGGCCUGUAACUGACACUGAGGCUCGAAAGCGGGGGGAGCAAACAGG